AGGAGCCAAAUCCAGAGCAGACUGGAGUGAAGGGGUAAAACAGUUCUUUAAUGAACCAGGCAAAAGCAUAAACACCUAGGCACAGCGGUAAUCUUCAGACAGUCCAGAGUCACAUAACCCAAACAGGCAGGCAGACGGGGCAGAACCAAGAAACAGUUGGCAAAAAGCCAGGCAGGCAGAAACAGGCAGACAUGAAGCAGGCAGAGGCACAGAAAAACAGGCAGGACGCUAAAUCACCAUAACAGGCAAAGGGGGCAAUCCAAGCGAACAGUCUGGCAAGGUCUAACCCCAUGUUCCAAAAACAAAGGCUUACUCUGUCCGAUACCCAGGCAGAAGUAAAAAAAACACAACGAAACUACAGAGUCCAGCCAGGGACAAAAACAGGUCAAAACAUGGACUUGCGAGUAUCAGUGUAAUAAUCCAGCACAGACUACAAGGCCCCCCAUCCACAAUCCAGCAAAUGGCAGGAUCUCAGAUCCUGCCGACGGGAGAAGGCAGAGUCGAGGAGCUUACCCCCCAGACAUCUAGACCGGGACCAACAGGUGGAGGUGGGGUGGAGGAAGGGACACCAGAGUCGGCAUACUGAGAUCAGCAGAGAGGUCAAUAAAAUCUGAAGUGUGACAUGUUAUCCGUGGCUGAUAGUGAAACGUUUUCAAACUCAUUCGUUGGAGGAAGGGACACCAGAGUCGGCAUACAGUGAGCAGCAAAGAGACGCAUAGAGAUCAGAUAGCAGUGAAGUGGUUUCCAGGAUGUCUGCAGAGUCCUCUAGCUCUGUUGUUCGUGACAUGGCUGCCACAUCUGAGUACUGGAUCUGGGGGACUCCGGUGUUGGGGGAUGGAGCAGGGGAACUCCGGCCUGACUCUGGUUUGGGAACCUUCAGCUUCAGGUUGGCAUAGCAAUCUUGGCCACUAGAGGGCACCUAGAAGAGAAUGACCAAAAGAAAUGAGGCACCAUCUUUUAAAGAUGUGGUCCUUGGCGCUUGCGACAGUUCAACCGUCAAUCAAAUACACCCCUCCCGUCAGUGCUCCUGAAGCUCCCGAUUGGCUGAAAUAAGGUGUUGAGUUUUUUGAGUGCACCUAGUAUGGACGGACAGCUAGGAAUGUGAGGAGAAUAUUGAUGAAUUUGCCAAGAAAUGUAAUGGAUUAUAAUCAAGGACUACCUCUUUAACUGUGACAUUCAAUACUAAUAUCCCUCCAUUAUAUUCCAUUCAGAUCAAUGAUAUAUCCACUGUACAUGAAGCCAAUCAGGAUUUUCAAAAAUACCUCAUGAUUAUGUAAUAUUACAGUACUGAUUACAAUUCUUUACUAAUGUUAAACACUGUAUUCCAGUGGGGAGCUGAAAUGUGACAUCAAUCAUAAACCCCGAACCAAGUCUGCAAAAUCACAAAUAGGACUUUGCACAUAGUUUGUACUUCUGUAUCACACUGUUAAGCUGCACACAAUGAUACAUUCAGUCUUUUAUAUACUGUAAAUGGUACUGCCAUUGAACACUACAUGUACUUACUGUAAGGGAGGACCUACUGGAUGUAAUGUUGUUAACCCUGUAAUGUUAAUAAGCUGCCUUGGCCACAGAUAGAAGCAUUAUAAUUUUAAACAUAUAUGUAAAUAGGCGCUUUUUUUGUAUUAUACUGUAAUAUAAUAUAAUACUAUUUUUCAAAAAAUCACUCAGCAUAAAAUACAAUGUAGCUUUAAGAAUAAAACAUGUAUACUGUAUUUACGCAACGGUUUGGUGAACCAUUUGUACUUGUGCUGAAUUUGUGUUUCUAUAGACAGGAUAGUUCAGCAAAAUGCUUUAUAGACAGUGGUGAAUGAUGAUGCAAAUUUAAAAGGCCUGAGCCAACCAAUAGAAGUGCUUUUGGUUGAACACGAUAGAUUUAUACAAUGUGUUUGCCAGUUGUAAAUAUUUGAUCAUGAAAAGUGUUUUUAUCUUGAGUGUAUUGUAUAGUCCACAGCUGUAAGAUUGCAUUUUUAUUUAUUUUUGUAUUUUUAGUAGUGCGAUUUUGAGAAAUCAGUCAUUGUUUCAUAAAAUGUAUAUUAGGAAUAUAUUCAUAUAUUUAUAUACCAAUUAUGUUUAAAAUAUUUACAUGUAAAUACAUCAAAAUGUCACACGGGGAUAAUUUUCCCUCACAUUAUAAAAAGUUCAGAGAGAUACAAUUAUUUUAAAAGGCAUUAGAUUUUACUAUAGUAACAAAAUUCCACUCACUUUUAUAGUGCUCCUUGUCAUGUGAUGGUUAUUAGAGAGGGUAGGGUUGCGUGUAAACUCGGUUCCUGUAAUCAAAUAUUGAUAAAUUAAAAUAGUGAUUCAAAAUAUAUUAGAUACAUUGCUGAUGUGGAAAUAAAAUGUACAGCUAGGCUACGUUAAACUGUGUCAACUUACUGGCUGGAGUGUAUCUGAUGUUUCCAUAGAUAGGAUUAUCCUCCAUUUCUGACAGUCUCAGGCUUAUGCUGUACCAGAUCCCAGAUCAGCACAGUCAAGCAAACAAAGACAGGGAAAAUGUAGAUGUGUUAACCCCAGUCUAACACAUUCAGUAUUUCCAGUGUAUGCUGUUCAGACUUACCUUCUCCUGAAGCGUGGCAGAAAUCUCUUCCCUUUGGCUAAAGAGGGGAAUAUUUUUCAAAAACAGAUACCAAGCACUUUGUAUCAAUAGAAUACACAGUAAUCGUCCAAAGAAAAAUAACUGAUGAAAAUAUAAUUUUCCUCCACUCACCUGUGCACUGUUUCCCGAAACAGCAAAGGAUAUUCCAGCACAUUGACAACACCAAAACAGUGCAAACUGCAGCAAAAAGCAUCCACAGUGUGUGCGACCCACACAACUCACCAGAACCUGGAAGAUGACACACAAAUACCAUAUUAGUACCAUAUUACCAUAGAGUUUCGGCCUGAUAACAAAGAUUACUCAGACGACAUGCUUCCGUUCCAUUUUUGUCAAACAAGAUGCAAUUCGAUUUCAUUUUAAUCUGAAGACUACAAGAUAUAAAAAUAUUUUUGUGUAUUUAACUCAUAUGCUAAACUCCCAAGCGAGUGAGAUAAAAUGUCAGGCCUUGACUUACCCCAAUGCGUGACGCUACAGUUCACCAUGUUGGAUUAAAAAACAACCCACGCUCUGGAUGUGGGAAUAAUUAGGGAAAUUACACCAUAACAGCUGCAAGAAUACACAUAAGAAUAUUUGGAAAGAAGUAAAUCUAAGUGAGGCUUACAGGCAUUCACUUAAAACAGUUACCUCUUGAACAAAGAAGCAAGCUCCUUCUCCCUGGCUUCUUCACAGAGGUUUGCUAGCAGGAUGUGCACACGCCUUGUGUCAUUGCACAAAUCAGCAAUGCAAUCUGCAGAAAAACCACAAACCUACCUAAGAGAAUAUCAAAAAAUGCAGAAAGACAGGAGAGAGAGAGAGUGUGUGUGUGUGUGAGAGAGAUAGAGUUUAUGUGUGUGUGUGGUGUGGUAUUCAUUGUAGAAACGUGGUAGUUCUAAAAGGGCCUCCACUACCAGAAAAUACAUCAGCCUUCCUUGGUGCAAUUAUAAAGCGAAAAAUCCUGAUAUCUAUAAUUACAUUGUGUUUCAGAAUGCAUUUUUUUUUUUUCAAUUACCCACAGCAAACCACCCCGCCCACAUGUGCCUGUGAUGUGUGAUGUGCUUAAUGUAAUGUUUUCUUGUAUGGAAUCAUGUUUUUUUUUUGUUCAUCAUGUUUGCUUGUUGUGAGUGUUAUUUCAGUUUGGACUUAACCAGUUUUCGAGGAAACUAUUAUAUCCAGCACACGUUUCACAGUGUAUAACAAAUAUUGAUCAAACGUACCGUACCUCUGCACAGUACUAUCAGCUCCAUAAGACAAACGUGUCUGCCAAGUAAAUACAUUUUCAUUUA